UUUUAAUCACUGCAAAAACAAAAACCCCUCUAUAACCUUUAGCUAUUGCUUUUCUUUGAAUGUGGUAUCCCUCAAAAAGUUAUUAAUAUGUUGAAACUUAAUACUCAUUAAGGUGGUAAUAAGAGGAGGGCCUUUUGGGAAGUGAUUAACUUGUGAGGACUCCACCCUUAUGAAUGGAUUAAUACCGGUAUAAAAGAGGCUUCAGAGAGUUUGCCCCUCUUGCCUUCCACCUGCCACUAUAUGAGGACACAGCAGCAAGGUGCCAUCUUGGAAGCAGAAAACAGCCCUCGCCAGACACCAACAUUGGUGGCUUCAGAAGUGAAUAGUCACACUGUUUUCCAAAGUGACUGCACCAUUUCAUAUUUCUACCAGCAACAUCAUCGUCUUCCUUUUACAGAUGAAGAAACUCAUAUCGUGGAAAAGUGAGGAUGAAAUCCUCUGACCACCCUACCUUUAAAGGUCCUUUAAAGAGAAAGAACUGACAGUGUAAGUGGAAAAAGAGCAAUUGGAAGUAGCAGGAGAGGGAAAAGCCAUUAUCAUACAACUGGUGGGAAGAAGGAAUGUCAAAAACAUCAGUGUGAAAAUAAUUGCAGCAAAAAGGAGGAAGGUGAUCUCUGGGCUCCCACUCCAACCCCCACUAUGCCCUCAUAACAGCUUCCAAUGCAAUGGAUAAGAAGUCAAUGAGUGACAAGAGUGGCUUUUUAGCCGACCCCACCCAUUCAAGGAAGGCUUAAGCCUUGAGUCAAAUCCUAGAGUGAGAAUUUCUUUUGUAUUUUCUGACUUUCU